CCUACGGGGGACAGCAGUGAGGAAUAUUGGUCAAUGGACGAGAGUCUGAACCAGCCAAGUAGCGUGAAGGAUGACUGCCCUAUGGGUUGUAAACUUCUUUUAUAUGGGAAUAAAGUUUUCCACGUGUGGUGUUUUGUAUGUACCAUAUGAAUAAGGAUCGGCUAACUCCGUGCCAGCAGCCGCGGUAAUACGGAGGAUCCGAGCGUUAUCCGGAUUUAUUGGGUUUAAAGGGUGCGUAGGUGGAUUGUUAAGUCAGUUGUGAAAGUUUGCGGCUCAACCGUAACAUUGCAGUUGAAACUGGCAGUCUUGAGAACAGUAGAGGUGGGCGGAAUGCGUGGUGUAGCGGUGAAAUGCUUAGAUAUCACGAAGAACUCCGAUUGCGAAGGCAGCUUACUGGACUGGAACUGACACUGAGGCACGAAAGUGUGGGUAUCAAACAGGAUUAGAUACCCUUGUAGUC
rnacentral:rRNA from 1 species